rnacentral:rRNA from 1 species
UACAGAGAGUGCAAGCGUUAAUCGGAAUUACUGGGCGUAAAGCGCACGUAGGUGGAUGUUUAAGUCGAAUGUGAAAGCCCUGGGCUUAACCUGGGAAUUGCAUCCGAUACUGAAUAUCUAGAGUAUAGUAGAGGGAAGUGGAAUUUCCGGUGUAGCGGUGAAAUGCGUAGAUAUCGGAAGGAACACCAGUGGCGAAAGCGGCUUCCUGGACUAAUACUGACACUGAGGUGCGAAAGCGUGGGGAGCAAACAGG